rnacentral:rRNA from 1 species
CCGAAUAUCCAAACAUGGGGGGUACUGCCUGCCCAGUGAAUUAAUUUAAACGGCCGCGGUAUCCUGACCGUGCGAAGGUAGCACAAUCACUAGCCCUCUAAAUAAGGGCCGGUAUGAAUGGCAACACGAAGGCCUAACUGUCUCCUCUUUAACUAACGAAACUUCUCUAGCCGUGCAAAAGCGGCUAUUAAAGCGCUAGACGAGAAGACCCUAUCGAGCUUCAGGGAUAAGAGACCGACCAAAAACUAGACCAACUGAACUAAUGGCCCGCCAGCUCUCUGACUCAUACAUCUAGUUUUGCUCUUACUCUCCUUUUCCUUUUGGUUGGGGCAACCACGGAGAAUAUCCACCCUCCGAGCCAAACUAAUUUUAAAUGACAUCACGUCAUAAGCAUAACCCUUAUGGUUCAUGAUCCGGACCUUCCGAACAACGAACAAAGUUACCGUAGGGAUAACAGCGUAAUCCCUCCUAAGAGCCCGCAUUGCCGGAGGGGUUUGCGACCUCGAUGUUGGAUCGGGGAAUCCUGAUGGUGCAGCCGCUAUCAAGGGUUGGUCUGUUCGACCAUUAAAACCCCACGUGAUCUGAGUUCAGACCGGCG